CUGCAAUCAGAAUUAAUAUGAACGUUUUAAAAAUUAUUUUAUACUGAAAUAAAUAAAUAUACAGGCUAAUAAGUCUGUAGCUAUAAGCGAUAGUUGCUAAUUAAGUUUGUCACUCAUAUUUUCAUCUUGCAGAGGACCUCCGUAACGAGAUCAAAGAUGUACACCAGCUGUGCAGGGUGAAGAGGUUAUCUCAAACGCCCUUAAUUGGGCCACAGUCCAAUUACGAGCGACUCAAAUGUCAUUACCGCUGAGAAGUACUUCUUGCCAUUUGAGUCAGCAUGUCAGAGCUAGUCACUACGGAUUGUGGUGACACAGCACUGGACUGCCUGCAGAAGUUAAUCGCAUAUAGCCAUCUCACUGGCAAUGUGCCUGAUUCAACGGAGCCUAACAAGCUGCUGAUUGUGCGCAUUGUCGAGACAAUUUGCGGUUGCUUCACCGGUCCACCGACCGAUGAGAGUGUGCAGCUGCAGAUUAUUAAAGCUCUGCUGACUGUAAUGACAAGCCAGCAUGUGGAGGUAUACGAGGAUACGGUACUGUUAACAAUUCGUACUGUUUACAACGUUUACUUGUCGUCGCGCAACCUGGUGAAUCAAGCAACAGCCUGUGCGACUCUCACGCAGAUGAUCAACGUGAUCUUCGCGCGAAUGGAGACUCAGGCGGAGGAAGAUAACGUGAGGCUUGAUGGGGAACAUCAGCAGGAGGGUUCUGUCAUAGCAAACGGCAAAACUGAAGCUGAGCUAAGUCUUAGAGCCUCCGCAUAAGACUUUCGUAUGGUAACGUAGUGUAACGAAACGUGGGUCAACGCACAAGAAACGUAUCGGUUACGGCGUUAUACGUCAAUACGUUUCUUGUGCAUUGAUCUACGUUACGUUACUAUACGAAAGUUUUGUGCGGAGGCUCUAACCGAUACGUUUCUUGUGCGUUGAUCCACGUUAAGUUACGCUACGCUAUAUACGAGAGUCUUGUGCGGAGGCUCUUAGUUAGCUAAGUCUAACUAGCUCAUCUUCAUGAAACUUUACGUUGCGUGCGUCUAUUUAAUGACGAUGGAUGUAGAAAGCUCUUCAAAUCACUUCGAGAGGAUUAUCAAAAGCGAUCUCCAUAUAUCGCAUAUUUAAUCAGAUGUCGUCAGGGAUUGCUGUUGACAUUAGCUCACUUAGAUAGAUUAUGCGUGCGAGUUAAGUGCGAUCGGGAUGCUAUCAAUAAUCAUCUUGUAUCCGUUUGUGUGAGGGUAUUUUUGGAAAAAAAAGAAAGCUUUCCUCCUGCGAAGAGUUUAAAAAGCUUACGCUAGCUGACGAGAAACAGGUUCUCAUGGAUAAUUUUAUAGAGAAGGUCCACGUAGAAAUGGACAACGAUCCGAUUUGGCAAUCGGCAAGCGCCAACCAGUUAGAUUUGGCGAGAGUCGUAGUGGAAAGAACCGUCAUGGCACGGGUAUACCACAAUACGCUCUAUCUAAAUGAAGAUGGAGAUGUAUAUAGGGACCAGCUUUUUCACGGUCAUAUCAAUAAGUUGGCAAAGGUCGUAACUUCAAAUCACAGGGACCUACGCAUUUCAAAAGUUUAUCAUUACGAAUGCCCCUAGUCAUGGGCGCAGGCUGAAUUGGCUGUGAUAUCGGUGUAUAAGACUCCUAGGGAUAAGUUGCAGUGUGUAUUUUGUUGCGCGACUACCAUCAUGAAUCUCUUUUCCAUGGCGUCGGAAAGAGGCAUACCUGCUGCCGACGAUCUGACUCCCGUGUCUACAGACUAAUUCGCCGUCGUUGUAUCGACUGUUCAAUAUGUAGACAGCUUUUACGGGAAUCGAUUGGAGGGAGAAGAACAAUAUUGGUGGACGCAGUUCUGCGCCGCGAUCGAGUUAAGACAAUGGAUUAACAGUUUCUCAAGAGUAUCACGAUAAAUAAGAUUAGAUUCGAUGCUGGUGAUAAUGUAGAAAUGUAUCAUAAUCAUAAUUUGACGAUUUCAUAAAGAAGAAGACCAAUAUCUUGUGUAAAGCUAGCUGAACAGUUUUAUGCUUCCAGUAUCAAUUAAAAUUCUUAAAUAGCCUCUUAAAUAGUCUGUUAGUUCUUUCGCACGUUAUUAUGUAACAUUAGCAAAGACUGAAUUAGAUUAUACGUAAAGUGUGGCUUUAUCUUUAUUUGUAACUCUAUUGUACAAUAUGUCACAGGACAUCGAAAAAAAAAGAAACGUUUAGAUAUUCUAUAAUUUAUGUACAAUACAGAACUUAUAGAGAAUUGAUAACCAUUUAGCAGGAUAAACUGUGUUGGCGUACUCUUUCUACAUGCGCACCUUCCUCAAGAGCCGAGACUCAAACCAGAUCCGUGAAAAAUAUCGCCAAUUUCGUAGAGCUUUUGUACAGUUUUACUCUAGGAAUAUCGCGAGAGAAAGAAAGACUUCGGAGAUUUUUAUCUGAAUCGAUCAACAUAAAGAGAGAGCAUAGUAAAGAAGCUAUUAGCUUUCGAGAAUUUGAAUGCAUAAUACUUUGUUAUAAUACUAUGAGCGAAUUAGUUUACGUCACUCUGUCAAGUUUUAAUAUUAAAUUACUAAUAAUAUAUCGAUAUCGGUAGUUUAAUAAUAAUACAUUUAAAAGCGCUCAAUUUAAAAGUAGGGCAAUCCUAAUAAACGACUGUAAAAAAAAAUUCAAGGUGGAACGCAAUGGACAAUCCGGUUGCUCUGACAUGCUAACUUAAAUGGCAAAAAGUACUUCUCAGCGGUAAUGACAUUUGAGUCUCUUUUAAUUGGGUUGUGGCAGGGCGUUUGAGAUAACCUGCUCUUCACCCUGCACAGCUGACGGACCUUCGGGAA